ensembl:rRNA 5S_rRNA 5S ribosomal RNA
GACAUUUGGUAGAGACUGUUGAAACCACCUGGUCCCAGCAGACCCGAGAAGGUGGCCACAUUCGCUGGUGCUGGGGCAAGGUCAUUAAGGGUGAAGCCUGGUGCCAGAUGUGU